GUGCAUUGCUGUUGCGUUGCA
rnacentral:miRNA from 1 species